rnacentral:rRNA from 1 species
ACGAACGCUGGCGGCGUGCUUAACACAUGCCAGUCGAACGGAAAGGCCCUGCUUUUGUGGGGUGCUCGAGUGGCGAACGGGUGAGUAACACGUGAGUAACCUGCCCUUGACUUUGGGAUAACUUCAGGAAACUGGGGCUAAUACCGGAUAGGAGCUCCUGCUGCAUGGUGGGGGUUGGAAAGUUUCGGCGGUUGGGGAUGGACUCGCGGCUUAUUAGCUUGUUGGGGGGGUAGUGUCAUACCAAGGCUUUGACGGGUAGCCGGGCUGAGAGGGUAACCGGACAAGUUGGACUGGAGAUGCGGCCCAGCCUAGUACGGGACGCAGGGGAGGGGAAUAUUGCACAAUGGGAGGAAGGAAGAUGCAGCCACGCCGCGUGGGGGAAGAGGGGAUGGGGGUUGUAAACCGAUGUCGCCUGUGACGAAGCGUGAGUGACGGUAACGGGUAAAGAAGCACCGGCUAACUACGUG